rnacentral:misc_RNA from 1 species
AAUGUCGUAACAAGGUCUCCGUAGGUGAACCUGCGGAGGGAUCAUUACCGAGUUCAUGCCCUCACGGGUAGAUCUCCCACCCUAUGUUAUAUUACCUCUGUUGCUUUGGCGGGCCGUCAGGCUUCGGUCAGGCUACCGGCUCCGGCUGGUAAGCGCCCGCCAGAGGACCCCAAAGCUCUGAAUGUUAGUGUCGUCUGAGUACUAUCUAAUAGUUAAAAAG